rnacentral:rRNA from 1 species
AUUGAACGCUGGCGGCAUGCCUUACACAUGCAAGUCGAACGGCAGCAUGAUCUAGCUUGCUAGAUUGAUGGCGAGUGGCGAACGGGUGAGUAAUACAUCGGAACGUGCCCUGUAGUGGGGGAUAACUAGUCGAAAGAUUAGCUAAUACCGCAUACGACCUGAGGGUGAAAGUGGGGGACCGCAAGGCCUCAUGCUAUAGGAGCGGCCGAUGUCUGAUUAGCUAGUUGGUGAGGUAAAGGCUCACCAAGGCGACGAUCAGUAGCUGGUCUGAGAGGACGAUCAGCCACACUGGGACUAAGACACGGCCCAGACUCCUACGGGAGGCAGCAGUGGGGAAUUUUGGACAAUGGGCGAAAGCCUGAUCCAGCAAUGCCGCGUGUGUGAAGAAGGCCUUCGGGUUGUAAAGCACUUUUGUCCGGAAAGAAAUGGCUCUGGUUAAUACCUGGGGUCGAUGACGGUACCGGAAGAAUAAGGACCGGCUAACUACGUG